rnacentral:rRNA from 1 species
GUCCUUUUUACCGAAAGGCUCGGAUCUCAUUUUUAGUUGUUUUGCACUACUUCUAUUAAGUAAAUUUGAUGUAAACUAGANUUGUGAGGUGAAAAAUUAGUCGUCGAGUCUUAUAACUGUUUAGCUGUUUAUACAUUUUUAUUUACACAUCARGUUAUAAGAUCUUUUGUGUGCUUAUACUCUUUAAUCUUUUUUGUUAAAAAGGGGUUAGAAUUACCCAAUUUUUGUAAAAUUGUUAUAAAUUUUUGUGUAUUGUUGAAGGGAGUUAAUUUUAUUGACAGCUUUAUAUAAUUUGUAGAUUUAUUUUAUCAUUGAAUAAGUAAUUAUAUUGUUGUAAUUAUUUUCUCGAGUUUUGUCCGUCUGUUUAUUAAAAACAUUUUCAACUUUAAUUGUAGUUGAUAGUACCUGCCCUAUGCUUGUGUAGUAAAUGGCCGCAGUAUUUUGACUGUGCAAAGGUAGCAUAAUUAAUUGCCUUAUAAUUGAAGGCUUGUUUGAAUGGUUUGACGAGAUAAUAAUGAAUAUUUACRACUUUUGUGAAAUUGAUGUUGAGGAUACAGAAUUCUCAUAGUAUUAAUUAGACGGAAAGACCCCGGGAUCUUUYGUUUUUGUCUGGGGCAGAUUUUUAUAUUUUAUUUGUAUUAUGACCCUGUWNUUUAGUUUAUUGAUUUAAGUUACCCCGGGGAUAACAGUGUAAUAAUUAAUGAGAGAUCUUAUCGAAUUAAUUGUUUGCCACCUCGAUGUUGACUUAGGUGUUUGUCAAGGCGCAGUAGUUUUGGCUUUAGGUCUGUUCGACCUUUUAUACCUCCAUGAGUUGAGAUAAGACCGGCGUGA